CACGGCGCUGGUGUGGGUACGGCCGCCCAGCGUGUCCCUGCCCCGGCGCCCCCGGGUCCCGCCGGCGGCGCGGCUCGGCGCGCACGGGGAAACCCCGGCUCCUACCUGUUGCCAGGGAAACCCAGGUGUCUUCCCCGGCAUCCCAGCCCUUCCCGCAGCCCCCGGAGAGGAGCGGGGGUGAAGGGUCUGCGGGGGUGGCGGUGCUUGCAGCCAAUUUACCAAGAGAUUCGCCAGGCAGCUUUUCCUACAAGGUGUUGUCACGGACUGUUGGCUGCCUCCUCUUGUGCACCAGAGAUAAUGAUGAGACCAGCAUGAAAAACCUGUUGAAGCCACCAAGUGCUGGCACGUAGCAGUCUGGCCAAGAGAAAAGCAGUGGGAGAAAUAGUGUCUUGAUGGGUGAUAUCGCUGGGCAUCAGUGAUCAAAUCAGCUGUUUCGGGGAGUGGAUGAGGUACAAAAUGAGCUCUGGGAACUGCAGUUGAAAUGUCUCCCCGACUCCACACCUCCUCUCUACAGCCUCCAUAGCAACCAUGUUUGCAAAGAUUCUCAAAAAUUCAGUCUUUAGGGGAAAGUAAACCCAUAAAAUCACACCAAAAAUCGGAAAUAAGAAAAUCAGCUAAUUUCUACACAAGGCACAACAGGAAACAACACAAAUUAUGAACUUCUAAGUCACACAUCAAUUCCAGUUUUACAGCAUCAGUAUAGCCUUGUGAUGCCUUUAGAAACUAGCAGGGAGGGCUCUUCAGUGCUGCUGAAUGAAACCUGUGUCUAAUGAUAAUUUAAAGUAAUUUAUAACCCAUAAAACACUCAUGAUAAGGCCAGUAUCACAUCUGCUCACAUUUAUGAGUUUGCAGAGCUCCAUUCUAUUAAUAUAAAUAGUAUGAAGUUUAUUGAUGAGAUUAAAGAGUCUUUAUUGUUCAUCUUUCAUUAAAAACACUAAGAAAACGAUCUGCAAUCUACUGACAUCUAGAAUUAUGGUUUGUGUUAUCUGCAGAAUUUGCUUUGUUUGCAUAGAAUGCAUCAAAUCGUAAAUGAAUUACAGUGCUCUUUAACAUACAGCUAUGGCAUAAAUAGGCUGAAAGGACAUGCUAGGCGAGUCAGCAGUUUACUGAUUUGACACUCACUGCAUUUGCAAGGUUAACACAACUUCUGUCCUGAACAAAGAGAAAUGGGGUUUUCUGUUGUUCUCAUUGAACAAGAUGAGUGCUGGUGUCUGAAAGGAGAAAUGGCACUGCUGUCACAAGAGAACUUGCAUUAUAGCAGAGAAAAAGCCCAGGGUAUAAGUAUAAAAUUCUAUUCCUUCUGAGGCAGUAUUUAUGCAAAAUGUGUAUAUGUAAAAGUUCUUCCCAAACAUUGUUUUAUUGCCUUUCAUUCAAUGAAAAAUGUGGUUACAGAAAAGCAAGCUUCAAAGUUUCUUUAAAAAUAAAUUAUAUUAUCAAGCCUAAACUAGUAAAUCUCCAAAUACUCUGUAACAUCCUCCAGAAUCAAAAUGUGUGUUCUAAGAGAUCUUUUAUACAUAAGAGAUGAUACAAAUUGAUACAAGAACUGAGGAACCUGAUUUGAAGAAAUAUUCUUAGACCAUGCAAAGAGCAGAUGCAUCUAAAACCAGGUUUAUUUAUACCGGCUAAAUAAUACAAAAUACAUCACCAAAGCAUCAGGCAAAGCCAAUGUGAAGGCACACUUCCUGCAAUUAUCUUCUUUCUUUUUAAUAGUAUAGCAGCAACACUGACUCUGUUUUGCUGGAUUGUCAUUUCUGAUAUUGUACAUUGUCCAAUUCCUCUGCUGGCAUUUGGGUUUGGAUGUCUCUAGAUCCACACCACAGUGGCAGCAGCAUUACCCUCAUGACAUAGUGCUGCAAUCCCUACAACUGUGUAUCAUUAGUGGGAAAUCAUUUUAAUGCUCUUGUAAACACCAUCAGAGAGCCAGGAGACUAUUUGUGUUUGUUUUACUGCCAUAGACUAAACUGCCUUAUUCCAACCCUGUCCAUCAAAUUGAGUGUUGGACAGGCUUCAAAGUACUCUAAGCCUGCCAACUGCAGGCUAGCUUGAACUUUUAAUAGAAACAGGCAACCACUUUCUAGUGCAGACACUGCAAGAAUAUCUGUUGCAAAUAGGUGUAUUGAUAAGGUGCCCUUUCUCCAUUAUAAAGAAGCCUGCAUUACCCAUGUUGGAGGCACAGCAUUUUGCUCCAAAGGCUUUGUCACAGGUUUUAUACUUCACAUUUGCAUAGUAUUUCAGGUAGCUCAUUUUCCCCACAUGGAGAAAAUGUAGGUGUAUAAAAUACUGGAUCGUCUUCUUACAUAAAACAUCUUACAUUUUUGUGUGAAAAUACUAAAUAUGUUUAGUCCCAAAUCUUCCCCUCUGAGGUAGCUUUUGUUUUUGAAAAAGGAAGAAUGAGAAAUCUUGGCAGAGAGUUGAAAGAGAGAUUUUCUGACCCAGUCAUUGGAAAAGAUGGCAUGAUUUUUAGAAAAAGUUAUUGUUUACUUUCAGAAAGGCAAAAUAUUCAAUUCAGUCCACCACAGCUAGCUGUAAAACAAAAAACUGUCAAGCAAAACAUGGUUGAUGAGAGGAGUUUUCAAGGAUCCCUCAUUCCCCAUUCACCUCUAUCUGCCAGCAAAGCACAGUCCUACCUAAUUCCUAUUCCUCACCAGAGACGUCCUGAGGAGGUAGCAGGUGCUGGUGGAGAAGCAGGAAGCCACUGUUCCUUCCUACACGAGUCACACCAGCUCAUACAUGAAUUUCCUGAGGCUACUCUGAGCGACUGGAGAAUGUAGGUCAGCAAGCAGUCAUGUCCAGUUCCCCAAAAGGGUAGCAAGGCAGAAACUGGGCUAAAUUUCUCCUACAGCCUUGUCUGGGUGGGAGGAACAGGAGGUGACCUGGUAGCACAGGGAGCAGGAAACAUCAGCCUGCAGAGCCACCAGGCUGAAGCUUGAAGUUUCUUCUGCACAACAGGGUGGCACUAGUGCUGCUGUGGAGAUGUACUCCAGUCUACACUGAUAACUCUGCCUUUAGGCACUGCUGCUGGAAGCUGAGAAGGAAGCUUCAUUUGUCUAGUGAAUAGCCAGGUCUAUAUUAAAAAUAUUUGGUGGGAAGAACUGCAGUCACAGGGAAAAGGAAGGCACAGAAGUAAUUAAUGCAUUUUCUCAAUGCUGAAAAAAUGCCUGUGGGCAGUCUCCAGAUGCAACAGUGGUAACAAAAGAAAUUCUGAAUGACUGCCACACUCAAGCACAUUUGUUUUAGCCCUCGUUCUUGAUCUUUUGUGUUUGCUUUCCAUAAACAGCAAAGUGUUCAAAACUAAGAUCCACUGCUGAUGGAAAGCAAGAUAUUAGCUCGCCUCUUGGCAGCAAUCAAAAUUUGAAUUGUAUGUUUAAUAAAUUGGGGUUUCGAUGGUUAAUUUCAAGAGCUAACAAGAGUACUUCCUAGGAUUCGAGUAGCAGUCCUAUACAGGAGGAGCUUCAAAGUACAACCAUCGAAUAUUCACAAAUGCUUGUAACCUAUUCACUUGUGUCCAGAUGCUGUCUCCCUUACUAUGCUGUGCAGGAACUGCCAUUAAAAUGAGCACAAUUCCCCACAGAAAAUAUUACUUAACUUGAGUAAAGUUGACAGAAUCAAGUCCAUGGCGGGGGGAUGAGAAAACCCGGUACUAGUUUGAAUAAUGAAUGUAUCUGAGAAUAUCCUAAUCUCCUUAUGAAGAGAGAGGCAAAAUCUAAAUACAUUAUUCAUGAUGAAUUAUUCAGUCAGCUGUGUGUGAAUUAUCUUGGGAAUAUUUUGCUGGCUUUUAAAACUUCUCCCUUAAAACAGAUAAAUCUAGCUUGGGAGAAACAUUCCUUUUAGUGGCCAACCACAUUUUCAAACUACUCUGUCAGCAAAAGAUAAAUUUAGAACUUUUUUUUAGCAUUUAUUUCUACUGCAGCAGCAUCUAGGAAUCCCAACAAUAUAUUUGCAUUAUUGUAGCAGCAUGUAGGAAUCCAAAUAAUAGUUUCUCAUUAUCUUCAGUGCUGUACAGACAAAGAUGUGACUACAGUGGUGUUAGACUGAAAUUAAAGUACAAAUGCAUCCUAACAACAUGAGAUUUUAUAAGUCUGAAUCUAAAGCUUUGGAAAGAGAACUAAUGGUUGACUAACAAUUAUAUAUGUAUACCUUCGAGACCAUCUCUAUGAAAAGUAGUGCAUUUUCAAUGUCACACCUGGUUUAUGAAAUGAGACAAAAUUGUUUGCUACAACUCCUUCAAAAAGCCCUACUACCAAAACCUGAGAAGCUCAAGGGUACGAUGCAUCUAUGAAUAAACAAGAUAGCUGGAUUUCACUUUCUGAGCUCUGAAAUCCCUUGAAUAUAAUAUACCUACUAAAACCUUUUUUUCAGAGAUUUGUACAGUCAGACUUAUUGGGGUGGGAGAGGUUUAAUCCAUGCAUGAAUAAAGAAACAAAUGCACUCCAAAGUCAUCACAUUGCUUUGGCAUGACAGUUUACAGAAAAUAUUUGUGUCCUUAGCAGAGCAGAGAAGGAUAACACAACAGAUGUAGCAGUUUCUCCUUCACACUGUAGUGUAACUGAAUUGACAUGAGAUGGACUAGUGAGAAUGGCAAGGAACACAAGGAAAAAAAAUGUACAAAGUCCAAAGAAGAGACAAACAAAAUUCUCUUAUCCUUGUAAGCCAAGACAGAAGAAGGGAAAAGUGUGGAUAAGAACUGCCAUCACAGCUGGAAAAUGGAAAAUAGUAAUGGCAGGUCUUAUCUCGGACUUCAAUGAGAAAAUCUGCUCUGGCUCUGCAGGGGGACCUUUUGAAUUAUAUUUGUGAUUCUUACUUCACUUAUACAAGGUCGAUUUUACUUUACUCCUAUGCUCAUUCCUGGUUAUUUUCUCUCUCUUAAUUAAUACUUCAUAUCAGACUUUUAUUAAGAUAGAGGCAAAGCAUAUACCUUCCUCAUUCUCUCAAGGUUAUCUUCUGAAAUAGAAUUUAAUUCUUUCAGUGGUAAGACAGAGUGGAAAGUAUUGCUAAAUCUACAAGAAAGUUGUACUUCCACAAUUAUUUCUAAGAAUACAAAAGAUCAUUGUAUCUUGUAUCAGGACAAUCUAAUUAGCUCAAUGUCUGGGAAUUAAGCAGACUGCUGAUGUUGCUGGAGAGCUGACCUAUUUCAAUGGAAAAUGGUUGUCUUUGCGCAGUAUUCUCACUGCAGCUCAGCAGCCAAGUGUCCUGAACCAGCCUGAAAUUAAGCAUGGGCCCAUCACUGCUCAAAGCAAGAGCGGUAACUGGUUCUUUAAAAGCACAGCUGUAUCAGCUCUCAGCACGGAGCUGGUCAGUGUGUUAUGCAGCUUGUGCAGUGCUUGUCCACAGGGUGUGGCCUUUAUGCAGGGACAAAAAGAACAUUGAAAUUAAUAUUUCAUACACAUUUAAGGUGGCAAAAAGUUAAUAUCCAAAGUUUUGAAACCAAUUGGUCCUUGAAAAUUUUUUGAUUGUGUUAGGUUGGAGGAGACAAGCAUGUGUUGAGAACACAUCCAUGUCAAGACUGGGAUACUGGCACUGGUCCAUCAUGUAUGGCCCUGAAAAAAUAGUCUAGAUCAACUGAGGAGUAGGUCUGCAUCUCCUUUCCUUUGGCUUUUUUUCCUGGGGAGACAUCAGGGAAAAGUGAUUGAGGUGGUUAUGCUAUACCUGUUGACUGACUGGUGUGCAAUACAAAAGCCGAUAUGGUCAUAUUUUUGUACAGGUAUUCCCAGUUGCUGAAUUCACAGAUUUAUUUUCUAAACAAGUAAUUAACUAAACAGAGACAUAGAUCCAUGGAAUGUUUAGAAAGAUUUUCCAUUUCAGAGUUUGAAA